rnacentral:lncRNA from 1 species
CUCUGGGUGUCGGCGUUCCGCGGGGGGCGCGCGUGGGCGUGGCCCCUCAGUCCACGCGUGGCCCCUAAGUCGCCGCGGCUCUCGUCCGGGACGCGGCUUUCCGGAGUAGAGCCCUGGAGGUGAUAAGUGUGAUGCUUCCGUAAUACAUUUGGAUGUUGUCAGCUAAGUUCACUUCUGAACUAAGGGGUUCCUCCAAAUGUUGGCUGAAAUUUGUCCUUGCACAUCCCAAGGCUCGUCUGCAAAGUCUACAAUUCAUAAUGGAGCUACUGUACUGGCUAUUGGAAGGAGGAGAUUCUGAAGAUAAGGAGAUUCAGUGAUCGGUCUUUGAAAUUUCCUGUGAUGUGUUUCAAUCUAGAUGCAAAGGACAUGGAAAAAUCAAAGUGCUCGAGUGGUUUAAAUAUGUUUUGGAUGUUCCUGUUUAUAAACGAUAAUACUUUUCCAAUUAAAAUCCUCAGUUGUCAUGCAGAAGAAAGUUAAGCUCUACUUGAUUGCCAAUUUUACUGAAAAUGCUUAGUAUUUUACAGUAUCACUGAAUAUAUUUUGUUUAGCCAAAGUAUAGGAAAAAUAAAAUAAAUUGUAUAGGUUGACUUUUUUCUAAAAAUGUCUUUUUUCUAAAAAUGUCUUUAUUGGAUUGAAUGUUCAUGCCUGAAAAAAAAAGGUUCAAAAAAUUCCUUUUACCAUCAUAGUCAUUCUUUUGACAAUCAGUUAUUAUUAGACUCGAUUUAAAAUAAUUUUCUAAUAUGACUCUUACAUUUAUGGGAGGAAAAAGACUUGAAAGAUACUCCUGUGUGUAUUUUAAUUCUCUGUAGUAGUCCCUCUGGAAUAGAAUGUCUCUUCCUCAAACAAAUCUAUUGGCUCAUUUCAUAUAUGAGAAAAAGUUGCCCUAACUGGCAGAGUUUCAUCUCUGUAAAGAAGGCUGACAUCCACCUCCUUCACAGAAUCCCUGCAUCUGGGUAAUUGAGUAAUGACAGAUUACCUUGCCAUUGGGAAAUACCUUGUUGUGGCCUUUGUAGCAGCUACAGGAAGAUGGAAGAAUUCUUCUGUACAGACAGGUCUCCAGCCUCUUUGGUGUGGACACUGUGAAGGGGUACAUCUGGUGAGAAGGAGUGCUUAGGGAAGGAACUGGGAAGGUCCACAAAGGCUGAUGAUGACAAAGAAUCCAAGGGCUAUGAUGAAUUCUUAAGCUUAGAUCUCAGAGUCAUAAAGUAAAUUUAUUAGGCUAGAGAGAUUUCCUUUUUUAUUUUUGAUCUAACUUUAUUUUUUCAGAUUUAUAAGUUCACAUGCAGUUGUACAAAAUCAUACAGAAAUCUUUGAACACUACCCAGUUUCUCCUAAUAGUAACUUCUUGCAAUAUACUGUAUAGUACAGCAUCACAACCUGGAUAUUGACAUUGAUGCAGUCAAGAUAGAGAGCAUUUCUAUAACCAGGAGGAUCCCUCAUUACUGCCCUUUUAUAGCCACCCCUACUUCCAGACCAUCUCACUCCUCCCUUAACCCUGGCAACCACAUUUAUAGAAAUGUUCUCCAUUUCUAUAAAUUUGUCUUUAUAGGAAUGUUAUAUAAUUGCAAUUAAAGUGUGUAACCUUUUGGGGGUUGACUCAAACCCAGCAUCAUUUUCUGGAGAUUCAGCUUAUAUGUGUCAAUAGUUUGUUCCCUUUUUUUCAGUUCAAUAAUAUUCUAUGGUAUGCAUGUACCACAUCACUCAUCAAUUAGAACUUCUGGGUUAUAUCUGGUGUUUGAUUAUUACAAAUAAAAGUGCUAUAUAUAUUCGUGUAGAGGUUUCUGUGUGAACAUAAACUUUCAUUUUCCUGGGACAAAUGCCCAGGAGUGAAAAUUGUGAGUCAUAUGGUAAUUACAUAGAGUAUUUUUUUUUUUUGAGACUUGAAUUGAUUUUGUGUCUGUGAGGGGGGAGGCAAGGAGAAACUCUAUAUUUUUGUAGUGUUUUUAACUAGAUUUGUUUAUUAUUUUAAAACAUAAAAUCUUAACAUAAGUUGUAGCCAAAUAUAAGAAAGGAUUUUUCCAGAAUCUAGACUUUAUUCUUAUUUUAGAGAAAUACUUCUGAAAAAAUUGCUUUAUUGGCAAACAAUUCCUAUGUAAAGAAAUAAAAGACACAUAUAUACUCUAGGAAAGAUGUUGCAAAGCUGACAGGCGACUUUGGGAAAUUUGAG